AAACAGUCGCACCAACUUUCUUUUCUCAUCUCUCAUUUUCUCUCUCUAAAAACUGCAUCUCUAGCUACCACUCCAAUGUCCUAGCCACUAGAAUGUCUCCACCAUCGGCAACAGCCAAAUGCAAAACUUCACCAUGAAAGCCAGCCACCAAACACCGUUCAAUUGACGAAGUCGCCAAACGCCCCUCUUCUCUGUUCUCCGACUGAUGUUGUGACCAGCGCCGCUGUCUUCGCGCCACCAGCCUCCCCCAUAUUGUCCUUUCUUCACCUCAAACUAGACGAUGAAGUAUUCAACAAUGGCUACCCACAAGCCGACCCUAACUACCACUGAUACCAUCGAAACAACAAGACCAACUACCUUCCUCUAUUUUUCUAGCUACUGACCACUGCCUCCCUCCGUUCUCCAUUCCAGCGUGGAUAGCCAACCCAAUAAUAGCCUUCACUGCUCUGGAAGAAUCACGAUUGAUUCAUAAUGAUUUUGUCCAGGGUUCAAGUAGAAUGAAGGCUUGUUAGGAAUUCAAGAAUUGUUGAGGCUGUCUCACUUAGCCUUUUUCUUAUUUUUUUUAAUUAUUUUGGGUCUGUAAUUAUUUGUUCUAUGAACUCUCUAUGUAAUAAUAAUGAUUCUGGGGUGCUUAGGGGGUGGAGAUUAUGUGACUUUGAUGUUGUAUGCAAUUGUUUUAUCAUCUAUGAGAUUUGCUUUAGGAUUGUUGUUUAAAAC